rnacentral:rRNA from 1 species
GACGAACGCUGGCGGCGUGCUUAACACAUGCAAGUCGAACGGAAAGGCCCUGCUUUUGUGGGGUGCUCGAGUGGCGAACGGGUGAGUAACACGUGAGUAACCUGCCCUUGACUUUGGGAUAACUUCAGGAAACUGGGGCUAAUACCGGAUAGGAGCUCCUGCUGCAUGGUGGGGGUUGGAAAGUUUCGGCGGUUGGGGAUGGACUCGCUGCUUAUCCGCUUCUUGGUGUGGUAGUGGCUUACCAAGGCUUUGACGGGUAGCCGGCCUGAGAGGGUGACCGGCCACAUUGGGACUGAGAUACGGACCAGACUGCUACGGGAGGCAGCAGUGGGGAAUAUUGCACAAUGGGCGGAAGCCUGAUGCAGCAACGCCGCGUGCGGGAUGACGGCCUUCGGGUUGUAAACCGCUUUCGCCUGUGACGAAGCGUGAGUGACGGUAAUGGGUAAAGAAGCACCGGCUAACUACGUG